CCGGGAGCCGAUGAUAAAUACGCCUGGUCGCGAGUCAUAUGGCGGAGUGCCUCGAAGCGAGCAAGCACUAGUCAUCGCCUGCUCGACGGCUAGUAAGCAAGCAGGCAGCUGUAGCCGUGGAAGCAGCGGACGGGAGACCGAGCUCUCGGAGCAACAACUGGGGCCGGAAUUCAGACAAGAAAGAAAGUUUCUCUAGAGGAUCAAAAUAAAUGGAGUUUUCCGAACACUUUGGCAGAGUUGGUAACAGCGACACAGUCUGGCUCCGGCGCCACGACAACCCACUCCGCCCAAUUUCCAAGUUCCAGGAGAGGAAGGCGGUGGCCUAUAGGUGGCAUCACUUCCCUGGAGGAGAGGUGAAGGCCACGGGACAGCAUGCCGCCGGUUAUUCUUAUUAUUACGAUCCGCCCUGGAAGAUGUACAUGCAAGAAGAUCAGGCAGCCAGUUACCCCCCUCCCCUCUCUAGAUUUGUAGACUUGAAACGCCAAGAAGAGCUAGAGCAGCGGCAUCACUUCCCUAGAGGAAAGGUGAAGGUCACGGGACAGCAUGCCGCCGGUUAUUCUUGUUACGAUCUGCGCAGGAAGAUGUACCUGCAAGAAAACCAGGCAGCGAUAAAUAAUUGAAACGCCAGUUACCCCCCCCCCCCCCCCCCCCUCCAGAUUUGUAGACUUGAAACGCCAAGAAGAAAUUAACAUUGGUCUUCUUCUUUAGGCUAGCAAGGUGGGACUGAAUUCCCCCCACACUUGCUAUCAUGGUGGAGUGAGCUACCCUAUGGCCACGUUUGGUCUAUGGGCCUCACAUAAGAUACGCAUCGAACAAUAAUUUUGACGUGCAAAGUGAGGUGACAAUCGUCCUCGAAUCUGUGCUCGUCGUCCACCAAACUAAAUUAUUGAACCAUACCGUCCGCCAUCACCGGGUGGGUGUGUCAUCACUCACCGCGCCGGGAGCCGACGAUAAAUACGCCUGCUCGCGAGUCAUAUGGCGGGGUGCCUCGAAGCAAACAAGCACUCAUCGCCUGCUCGACUGCUAGUAAGCAAGCAGGCAGCUGUAGCCGUGGGAAGCAGCAGACGAGAGACCCAGCUCUCGGACCAACAACUGAGGCCGGAAUUUAGACGAGAAAGAAAAAUGUGUAUGGACACCCAAAGCCCAACCCCGCUCUGCCUGGAGUACUCUCCAUUACUCCUACUUGAUUUGGUCUGCAGUCUCGAGAGGAUCAAAACAGGGCCGUCCUGGUACAAACCGGGGCCCUGUACAAAAUUCUAAAGCGGGCUCUAAUUUACUAGCAAGUACAUAAAAAUAAUGAAACCAGUAUAAUAUAUUAAAUAGCAACUGAAAACAUCAAGAAUCAUACCUAUUUAAUCUUGGUUGCGUAAUCUUUAUUUGAAUAACAUCAUUCUUUUCGUGUUUCUUGAAAUGAAAUUUUCAAUGAUAGACUCAUAAUCAAUCUUUUCCAACAUGCCGCUCUCAAGUGCUAGCAUGACCAAAUCAUUAAGCCUUUCUUGAGUCAUUGUAGAACGCAAGUAAGACUUCAAUAGUUUCAAUUUAGAAAAGCUUCGUUCUGCUAAUGCAACGGUCACAAGAAUGGUCAAUAGAACUCUGUAAGCGAUAGUUGCAUUGCGAAAGCAAUCAUACCGCUUUAAAAACUUCAAAAUUUCAGCAAGGCUCAUAUUUUCUUUAAGAAUGAAAUCUUGAAGAAACUUCAACUCCACAUGUAGUUCCUUAGCAUCAAUAUCAGACUUUCCAUCUCUUAUAAGGACAGUCUCCAGAUUUUCACAAGAAGAUUUCAAGCUGUUGUUAUCCAAUGACCGUAAUGUGUCAGAAGUAAAUAAGAAAUCAAAUUUUUUUUGAUACCCCUGAUAUUGUUCAAACCUUGUUGUAAGGGAGGAAAUAGCUUGAUCAACAAUGGAUAGAAAAUAGUUGAUUCUGAAUGAUUCCUCUGCAGACUGAUUGGAAGCAUUUAUCUCAUCUGGAUUCUCAUCAAAUUGCCUCUUUAUUUUAAUUUCACGUUUCUUAUGAAAGGUUGUACCAAUAUCCAUCUCAAGUGCAAUCUCUUUAGCUACCUCCAAUACCUCUAAGAAAUCUGUUUCUCUGUACUCUUUGAAGAAAGAAAUUAGCCCUUGCACUUUCCCAAUAGCAACAUCUACAAGCAUAUCCUUUGCUUGUAAACUUUUGCUCACUAAAUUAAUAGCAUAUAAUACUUUAUACCAAAUGACCGUUGCCACUAUAAAUUCAUACUCUCCAAGUUCAUUAUUUGCCAAUCCUUUAGCUUCACUGCUUGUUUUUACAUCAGUAUCAAGAUACCUGCAAAUAAAAGAAACAAUAUGUGUGUUAAAACUAGAUGUGACCGAAGGAAUUAUAUCAUUAAAAAUACAACAUUAUCAAUAGCAAAUACCUGAAGUAGAGCUUCCCGAAUAUCUACACAUUGAAAUUUGAUAGCUUUAACACUUUCAACACGACUCUCCCAACAUGUAGCUGAUACUGAUUUGAGAGUCCAUCUUGUUAUGUUAUCUUUUAGAAUCUGCUAUUUCUUAGUAGAAUUAGCAAAGGUUGUGUAGAUGCGCUGGAUGAUCCCAAAGAAUUUUUUAGCUCUACCAUAAUUCUUGGCCAUGUCACAAAGUGCUAGAUUAAGGCUAUGACAACCACAAGCGGAACAGAAAGCUCUUAGAUUUACCUCCAAAAAUUUCAUUUUUACCACUUUGUUACAUCCUUUCACAUUUGAUCCAUUAUCAUAGCCUUGUCUUCUCACAUUAUCUAUAUCAAGAUCAAGUCGCUUUAGUUCAUUCUGUAUUGCAUCAAAAAGUCCUUGCCCAAUCGUAUCAUUUACUUCUAAGAAUCCUAGAAAAGAUUCUUCAAUGCAAACACGACUUGAAGAUACAUCCACGUAUCUUAUAAUUAAAGACAUCUGUUCUUGGUGGCUUGCAUCGGGGGUAUAAUCAAGUAUGAUAGAGAAAUACUUUGCACUCUUUAUUUUCUUAAUAAUUUCAGACUUAAUAGCAGCAGCAAGCAUGUGUAUCAACUCAUUCUGAAUCCUAGGACCAAGAUAAUGAACUUGAGUUUCUUCAUUUGUAAUACGAUGAACAUGCUCUUGAAUAACUGGGCCAAAUUCAGCCAACAUCUCUAUCAAACCCAAAAAAUUCUCAUUGCUAUCAGCUACCACGAAAUGCUAGAUUAUGCUUGGCAAGAAAUUUCACAAUGCCAACAAUUCUGAACAAAACUUUUCUCCAAUGGUUCUUUACUUUCUCAAAUUGCCGCUGAGAAAUUUUAUCAAUAGUUUGAUCCUUUUGCAAUCUACUAUGCAACUCAUACCAAGUGGUCAUAUUCAAAACAUGAUCUGCGCUUGUCUCAUGCUCUUUAAGUCUACUGCCAAGAUGUAUCCAAUCAUUGAACCCCUCAUUUGCCAACUGGCCUUUACUAUGCCCUUUUGUAAAUAGUUUACAACCAAAGCAAAAUACUCUAUCGAGUUCCUUAGAAUAGACAAGUCAAUCCCUAUCUCAAUGUUCUCCAUUUGAGAGAAUUCUAAUACAGAAAAGUGCAGAAAACCUUCUAGAAUUCCUAUCCUUAGGACCUUUCCGAAAUAACAAGUCUCUUUUAGGGUCCUAUUUUGCUAAAAUAUCAAAUUAUUUAGAAUCAAGAGAAUCCUAAUAUCUUGAAUUAAAUAUAUCAGGCUGAAAAGAAUCAUCAUCAUCUGCAAUGGGAGAAGUAUUCAAAUUGUCACUAUCAUUAUCUGUUUGUCUGUUUAUGUUAUCAGCAGGAGCUUCCUGACCCUCAAUAUUAUUUUCAGUCUCUGCAUGACCAUCUAUAGUAUUAUUAUCAACCGUAAUAAUAGUUGGAGAACCUUGAUCAAUAGUUUGAUUCUCGGGGACCACUUGUGAUUCUUUUAUAAUAAACCUAUCUAUCCAUAGCUCCUUUCUGAGAUUGAGUUAAAUCUUCUAUUCUUUGCUUUUUUUAUGCUUUUGAGAACCCAAAUCAUAUUUUGUUGAACGAUUUGCAGAAGACAUGGUUUGGAUCUUGAAACAAUAAACGUCAAGAUCAACUGAUGCACGCAUAUACAAAAUAAAAAUAUCAAUUGAUGGAUUCAUCAUUCGUCAAUUAAAUAAAAAGAAACACCUUGAGUAGCUUGUAACAGUAAGUAGCACCUACGGCUCUUGAAAGGAUCCGCUAAUUAGCAAACCGCAGGGCCCAGGCAUGCCGCGUGCGAGAACUUGAAGCAGCGCUGCAGCGGACGGUGGCGCACAGCGCGGAGUCAGCCCUUGCCGCCAGUCGCCAGACUAGAGCGCCAGACGCCCUAUUGCCCAGCGCUAGGCGCGCGAUCGUGCGAGGCGAGAAGAUGAGACAUUUUGCGUUGCGGCCGCGAAAAAGAAAGAUGAAUCAAGAUCUCGCAGUCCAACCGGCAACCACUAAAUAAUAUGGGUCAAUUUUAAUAGGUCUAGUGGGCUGUUGAUCUGGAAUUUUGGGGAUCCCAUAAAGAUCCGCACCGGCCGCGUGCCCACAGGGACGGGCCUGGAUCAAAAUAAAUGGAGCUUCUCGAAUACCGCGGCAGAGGUGGUAACAGCGACAAAUGUGCGGGAUCAUAUCGGGUGACCUAAUUAACCACGAGCCACACCACUCACUGCUGUUAUUGAUUGGUUUCCU